CACGUAGGGACCGAGCGUUGUCCGGAUUCAUUGGGCGUAAAGAGCUCGUAGGCGGUCGGGUAAGUCGGGUGUGAAAUCUCCGGGCUCAACUCGGAGGGGCCACCCGAUACUGCACGACUCGGGUCCGGUAGGGGAGUGGGGAAUUCCUGGUGUAGCGGUGAAAUGCGCAGAUAUCAGGAGGAACACCGGUGGCGAAGGCGCCACUCUGGGCCGGUACUGACGCUGAGGAGCGAAAGCGUGGGUAGCAAACAGG
rnacentral:rRNA from 1 species